rnacentral:rRNA from 1 species
AGUGAACGCUGGCGGUAGGCCUAACACAUGCAAGUCGAACGGCAGCACAGUAAGAGCUUGCUCUUACGGGUGGCGAGUGGCGGACGGGUGAGGAAUACAUCGGAAUCUACUUUUUCGUGGGGGAUAACGUAGGGAAACUUACGCUAAUACCGCAUACGACCUACGGGUGAAAGCAGGGGAUCUUCGGACCUUGCGCGAUUGAAUGAGCCGAUGUCGGAUUAGCUAGUUGGCGGGGUAAAGGCCCACCAAGGCGACGAUCCGUAGCUGGUCUGAGAGGAUGAUCAGCCACACUGGAACUGAGACACGGUCCAGACUCCUACGGGAGGCAGCAGUGGGGAAUAUUGGACAAUGGGCACAAGCCUGAUCCAGCCAUACCGCGUGGGCGAAGAAGGCCUUCGGGUUGUAAAGCCCUUUUGUUGGGAAAGAAAAGCAGCAGGUUAAUACCCCGCUGUUCUGACGGUACCCAAAGAAUAAGCACCGGCUAACUUCGU